rnacentral:rRNA from 1 species
UACGGGGGGGGCAAGCGUUGUUCGGAAUUACUGGGCGUAAAGGGCUCGUAGGUGGCCAACUAAGUCAGACGUGAAAUCCCUCGGCUUAACCGGGGAACUGCGUCUGAUACUGGAUGGCUUGAGUUCGGGAGAGGGAUGCGGAAUUCCAGGUGUAGCGGUGAAAUGCGUAGAUAUCAAGAGGAACACCGGUGGCGAAGGCGGCGACCUGGACCGACACUGACGCUAAUACACGAAAGCGUGGGGAGCAAACAGG